GACAUAGGUGGCGAACGUUAUCCGGAAUUAUUGGGCGUAAAGGGCGCGUAGGUGGCCCGGUCAGUUCGUGGUGAAAGCGCGGGGCUCAACCCUGCGUCGGCCAUGAAUACUGCCGCGGCUGGAGCACUGUAGAGGCAGGCGGAAUUCCGGGUGUAGCGGUGGAAUGCGUAGAGAUCCGGAAGAACACCGGUGGCGAAGGCGGCCUGCUGGGCAGUUGCUGACACUGAGGCGCGACAGCGUGGGGAGCAAACAGG
rnacentral:rRNA from 1 species